GUCGAGCGGACAGAUGGGAGCUUGCUCCCUGAUGUUAGCGGCGGACGGGUGAGUAACACGUGGGUAACCUGCCUGUAAGACUGGGAUAACUCCGGGAAACCGGGGCUAAUACCGGAUGCUUGUUUGAACCGCAUGGUUCAAACAUAAAAGGUGGCUUCGGCUACCACUUACAGAUGGACCCGCGGCGCAUUAGCUAGUUGGUGAGGUAACGGCUCACCAAGGCAACGAUGCGUAGCCGACCUGAGAGGGUGAUCGGCCACACUGGGACUGAGACACGGCCCAGACUCCUACGGGAGGCAGCAGUAGGGAAUCUUCCGCAAUGGACGAAAGUCUGACGGAGCAACGCCGCGUGAGUGAUGAAGGUUUUCGGAUCGUAAAGCUCUGUUGUUAGGGAAGAACAAGUACCGUUCGAAUAGGGCGGUACCUUGACGGUACCUAACCAGAAAGCCACGGCUAACUACGUGCCAGCAGCCGCGGUAAUACGUAGGUGGCAAGCGUUGUCCGGAAUUAUUGGGCGUAAAGGGCUCGCAGGCGGUUCCUUAAGUCUGAUGUGAAAGCCCCCGGCUCAACCGGGGAGGGUCAUUGGAAACUGGGGAACUUGAGUGCAGAAGAGGAGAGUGGAAUUCCACGUGUAGCGGUGAAAUGCGUAGAGAUGUGGAGGAACACCAGUGGCGAAGGCGACUCUCUGGUCUGUAACUGACGCUGAGGAGCGAA
rnacentral:rRNA from 1 species